CACGUAGGGCGCAAGCGUUGUCCGGAAUUAUUGGGCGUAAAGAGCUCGUAGGCGGUCUGUUGCGUCCGCUGUGAAAACUCGGGGCUUAACCCCGGGCCUGCAGUGGGUACGGGCAGACUAGAGUGUGGUAGGGGAGACUGGAAUUCCUGGUGUAGCGGUGAAAUGCGCAGAUAUCAGGAGGAACACCGAUGGCGAAGGCAGGUCGUCUGGCCGACUACUGACGCUGAGAAGCGAAGCAUGGGAGCGAACAGG
rnacentral:rRNA from 1 species